GCCCAUAAGGACGAGAAAUGUAUUUUUGAACAGGUCAAGAUCUAGAAGUUGUUGUUGUUGUUUUCUAUCGUGGAGACUAAAAUAUCUGUCUACCUGCCGGUACAGCAGGGACACGUAAGCAGGAAACUCCAUGAGGGAGGAGAUGAGGAAGUUCAAGUAGAUGUUUCCGCUCAGGUCCGUGAUGUUCAGGGAGAAGCCGUAGAACACCAGACUGCACGUGAACCUGGCAAGUGGACACGAUGAUGACUCCUGACGUGGCGGCGCCGACGAAGAAGCGGAAGAUGACGAAGAGAACCAGGUUGGGAGAGAAGGCGGCGGCCACUCCGAACACACACUGGAUCACCAGGCUUAGGAGGUACGACGGGCGCCGGCCCAACCUGAGGGACAGCCAAAGCACAGAUCAGAAGAGCUUUUUGUCCCACCGUACCUGUCCGCCAAGUCUCCGAACACCACAGCCCCCACCAUCACCCCCAC